ACUCCUACGGGAGGCAGCAGUGGGGAAUAUUGCACAAUGGGGAAACCCUGAUGCAGCCAUGCCGCGUGUGUGAAGAAGGCCUUCGGUUGUAAAGACACUUCAGUAGGGAGGAAGGUAGUGUAGUUAACACCUGCAUUAUUUGACGUUACCUACAGAAGAAGCACCGGCUAACUCCGUGCCAGCAGCCGCGGUAAUACGGAGGGGUGCGAGCGUUAAUCGGAAUUACUGGGCGUAAAGCGCAUGCAGGCGGCCUGUUAAGUCAGAUGUGAAAGCCCGGGGGCUUAACCUCGGAAUUGCAUUUGAAACUGGCAGGCUAGAGUCUUGUAGAGGGGGUAGAAUUUCAGGUGUAGCGGUGAAAUGCGUAGAGAUCUGAAGGAAUACCAGUGGCGAAGGCGGCCCCCUGGACAAAGACUGACGCUCAGAUGCGAAAGCGUGGGGAGCGAAACAGGAUUAGAUACCCUGGUAGGAUAGCG
rnacentral:rRNA from 1 species